rnacentral:rRNA from 1 species
GAUGAACGCUGGCGGCGUGCCUAAUACAUGCAAGUCGAGCGAACGGACGAGAAGCUUGCUUUUCUGAUGUUAGCGGCGGACGGGUGAGUAACACGUGGAUAACCUACCUAUAAGACUGGAAUAACUUCGGGAAACCGGAGCUAAUACCGGAUAAUAUUUUGAACCGCAUGGUUCAAAAGUGAAAGACGGUCUUGCUGUCACUUAUAGAUGGAUCCGCGCUGCAUUAGCUAGUUGGUAAGGUAACGGCCUACCAAGGCAACGAUGCAUAGCCGACCUGAGAGGGUGAUCGGCCACACUGGAACUGAGACACGGUCCAGACUCCUACGGGAGGCAGCAGUAGGGAAUCUUCCGCAAUGGGCGAAAGCCUGACGGAGCAACGCCGCGUGAGUGAUGAAGGUCUUCGGAUCGUAAAACUCUGUUAUUAGGGAAGAACAUAUGUGUAAGUAACUGUGCACAUCUUGACGGUACCUAAUCAGAAAGCCCCGGCUAACUACGUG